rnacentral:tRNA from 1 species
GCUGCGAUAGUUUACUAAAAACAUUAGCCUGUGAAGCUAAAAACGGAACCACACCAUUAACCCCUUCCCCACAGC